rnacentral:lncRNA from 1 species
UUUUUUUUUAACGGGUUUCUACAUUCUCCCCCCCUUAAUAGAAUUCGUCCUCGAAUUCUUAGUUGCGCCGUUGCUCGUCUUCACAACAUUCUCCACUCGUCUCCAUAACCUCUUUACUCUGUCCAAAACUGUUCCUUGAGUGUCCUCCUCAAGGCCUCCACAAUCGUCUUCUGUUGAAUGAUCGCUGGAUCAUCUCUUAUUGUUGCUCUGCCAUAACACACUGAUUGCCCAUGAUACUAUCUUGUCCUUUUGGUAGAUAUCAUCCUUGUCCAGAUUCCUC